AGUGAACGCUGGCGGUAGGCCUAACACAUGCAAGUCGAACGGCAGCACAGUAAGAGCUUGCUCUGACGGUGGGCGAGUGGUGGACGGGUGAGGAAAACAUCGGAAGCUACUUGUUCGUGGGGGAUAACGUAGGGAAACUUACCCUAAUACAGCAUACGACCUACGGGUGAAAGCAGAGGAUCUUCGGACCUUGCGCGAUUGAAUGAGCCGAUGUCGGAUUAGCUAGUUGGCGGGGUAAAGGCCCACCAAGGCGACGAUCCGUAGCUGGUCUGAGAGGAUGAUCAGCCACACUGGAACUGAGACACGGUCCAGACUCCUACGGGAGGCAGCAGUGGGGAAUAUUGGGCAAAGGGCGCAAGCCUGAUCCAGCCAUGCCGCGUGGGGGAAGAAGGCCUUCGGGUUGUAAACCGCUUUUGUUCGGAAAGAAAACCAGUGGGCUAAUACCCCGCGGUGAUGACGGUACCGAAAGAAUAAGCACCGGCUAACUUCGUG
rnacentral:rRNA from 1 species